ensembl:lncRNA
GUCAGGUGUCUGUCUGCGCAGAGUAGCGACAGAGUGCUCCGUCCUCCUUUUUGCUCUUGGGUCCUCUCAACCGGUGGUAGAUGUCUUCCUGCCGUGUGGGUUUUUCUCUCCCUCCCUCUCCCUGUGCAGGUUUGACCUGGGAAACAGCGGCUGUAGGCUGGUGGUGGCGGCGGUGGUGUGGGUGGUGGUGGUGGUCCUCUUCGUGUGUCGUGUCCCAUUGGAUUGUUGUGCUAUCACUGGGUGAACUCUGGUUUGGUUUUCUCUAAGUUUGUUCUAUUAAUUUUCCUUCCCCUUCACCGGCGCUUCUCACCAUUAGGCCUUAGCGAUUAGUUUUCUUUUCUUAUUUUGUGAGGAAUGUUAGAUUUUACGGGAAUGUAUAUUUAUUGAAUAAAAAAUGUUUUUGUAACCUGGGAA